GAUGAACGCUGGCGGCGUGCCUAAUACAUGCAAGUCGAGCGAACAGACGAGGAGCUUGCUCCUCUGACGUUAGCGGCGGACGGGUGAGUAACACGUGGAUAACCUACCUAUAAGACUGGGAUAACUUCGGGAAACCGGAGCUAAUACCGGAUAAUAUAUUGAACCGCAUGGUUCAAUAGUGAAAGACGGUUUUGCUGUCACUUAUAGAUGGAUCCGCGCCGCAUUAGCUAGUUGGUAAGGUAACGGCUUACCAAGGCAACGAUGCGUAGCCGACCUGAGAGGGUGAUCGGCCACACUGGAACUGAGACACGGUCCAGACUCCUACGGGGGGCAGCAGUAGGGAAUCUUCCGCAAUGGGGGAAAGCCUGACGGAGCAACGCCGCGUGAGUGAUGAAGGUCUUCGGAUCGUAAAACUCUGUUAUUAGGGAAGAACAAAUGUGUAAGUAACUAUGCACGUCUUGACGGUACCUAAUCAGAAAGCCACGGCUAACUACGUG
rnacentral:rRNA from 1 species